UUUAUGAAGCGGAGCAUCACCUCAAUCUGCCCGUCAGCUCCUGCCUGACAGGUGUCGACCAGCUCGAAUACGCUGCUGUAACCGAGGCUCCUCCAGUGUGCCCCCAUCACCUGGCCGAGUCCCCACGACGAGGACUCGUAUGCUGCAACCCGAUCUAUCUGGGCUGCGCGCUCGAUAAGAUCGUAGACGCCAGCGAAUGACCUGGGGUUCUUGAUACGUCCUGGU
rnacentral:rRNA from 1 species